rnacentral:rRNA from 1 species
UACAGAGGGUGCAAGCGUUGUUCGGAAUUACUGGGCGUAAAGCGCGUGUAGGCGGCGGCGUUAGUCGGAUGUGAAAUCCCUCAGCUCAACUGAGGAAGUGCAUUCGAUACUGCGUCGCUUGAAUGUCGGAGGGGAUGGCGGAAUUCCCGGUGUAGAGGUGAAAUUCGUAGAUAUCGGGAGGAACACCUGUGGCGAAAGCGGCGCACUGGACCAUAACUGACGCUGAUGCGCGAAAGCUAGGGGAGCAAACAGG